GAUGAACGCUAGCGGCAGGCCUAAUACAUGCAAGUCGAACGAGAUUAAGAGGCUUGCUUCUUAUGAAAGUGGCGCACGGGUGCGUAACGCGUAUGCAACCUACCUUAAUCAGGGGGAUAGCCCGAAGAAAUUCGGAUUAAGACCGCAUAAAAACACAGGAUAGCAUUAUCCAAUGUUCAAAUAUUUAUAGGAUUAAGAUGGGCAUGCGUGUCAUUAGCUAGUUGGCGGGGUAACGGCCCACCAAGGCGACGAUGACUAGGGGAUCUGAGAGGAUGACCCCCCACACUGGUACUGAGACACGGACCAGACUCCUACGGGAGGCAGCAGUAAGGAAUAUUGGUCAAUGGAGGGAACUCUGAACCAGCCAUGCCGCGUGCAGGAAGACAGCCCUCUGGGUCGUAAACUGCUUUUAUUCGGGAAGAAACCUUUCUACGUGUAGGAAGCUGAAUGUACCGAAGGAAUAAGGAUCGGCUAACUCCGUG
rnacentral:rRNA from 1 species